rnacentral:tRNA from 1 species
UAACUUCAGGUGUAAAGGCACGUUAAAUUUUGAUUUUAAAGGAAAUGAAUCAUUUCAUUGGGGUUAA